GUUGUUGUGCAACCCAAUGCGUCAAGAUUUUUGUGGAGUUUGCAAAAACGAUCCUCCUCAAAAAGGAUCUUUACAAAGAAGUGACCGUGUUGUUCUCUGACCUGACUUGGCUCAUCAGUAAAAUGCAUUAGCAGAAUUGUCAAGAUUUCCUUAAGCUAUACAAUUUUAUAAAGGAUACUUCACACAGGAAAUCAGCAGAUUUAGAUGAAGAGUACCCUUCAGAAAGCACAGAUAGGAAUAAAGAUCAUAUACGGAAGACUUUAAACAGAGAAAAUUCAAGACUUUAAAGAAACAGUCUUGAAUAAGCACAAGUGUGACUCCAUGUUCUCAAGGACAGACCUCUGGCACACACGUAAUAUACUGAGAUUAGUUUGAGAGCUCAGAAUUCAUCGAGUUCAGAAUCUCAGGGUCAGUCGAUCAUGCAGGUCUAUGUCUCAAGACCUUCGAAGUUCACUAGCCCUCAUUCUUCAAACUACUGGCAGGGAAACUGAGGUCCAAAAAGAGUCAAAAAGAUAUUUCAUAAAACAUCUUCUUACUCCUUACCCAGUGCUCCUGUUGUGUGACUGUGAUGAGAAACAGACAUAAGAAUACUCAAGUGAAUGAAUGGAUGAGUGUUUUGAAGAAAUAACAAAAAAAGACCCCAGUGAGUGGCACCGACUGGGCAGUUAUCUGGGGAGAAAUAAUAUUGAUAGCUUGAAUGUUAAUAAAGAUGAUAGGAGGCUGAGAAGAGGAAAAGAAAGAAAAAGUUGAACAAAUAUGUUUGAACAAUACGUUUGCAGCUUUGCCUGCCUUGUUAUCAAAGGACAGCCUUUUGAGAUAGCUUUUCAUACUCUUGAGUCUGUUUUAUAGUAAAGAUGUGUGAUGUCUUUGAAUAAAAGAUGUGAAUACGUUAGCUUAAGUAUUGCCUGGAAUACAUGUCACUAGUGGUUACCAAUUCUCCAAUUUUGAAAUAGCAUGUGGUUCAAUUAAAUGCAAGUUGAAAAUAGUUUAGGUGGGGAACACCUUCAAGCAUCUAACCUGGGUAGGUUAGUUGCAUCUUUUCCUUUUAGGCAUUAAGAUCUUGACUUAAGUUUGAAAAUGACUGUAGGUGUCUCUUGAUGUACUGCUGCCUAAAUAGCUGGUAAGAAAUGACAGGGAAAAAAUACACUGACACUCAUCUUCAUGGAACCCUGAAGUUUUCUCUCUGGAGAUUGUGUUUAAGAUAACAGGAUUGUAAAGAGGCAAGUAUAGAUUUUGACUCUGAGGCCCUCAGAGAUGUAUGAGCAUUAAGAGGUCUCCAUGGCAAUGCACUGCCACACCAUUCAUGCAACACCAUAGUAAACUGUGUUCAAAUAAAGAUCUCAGUUUCAAUACACUUUUUCAGAAAUGUGUUUGCUUCUGUUUUCUUUUUCUUUUCUUGGCCACACCUGUGGCACAUGGAUGUUCCUGGGCCAGGAUCGAAUCUGAGCCGCAGCUGACCUAUGCCACAAUCUGACCAAUGCCAGAUCUUUAAGCUAUUGUGCCGGGCUGGGGAUUGAACCUGUGCCUCAGCAGGGACCUGAGCUGCUGCAGAGACAAGGCUAGAUCCUUAACCUGCUGUGCCACAAUGGAAACUCCCAUGUGCUUCUUUUUUUUUUUUUUUUUUUUUAAGGCAAAUCUGCCUCCAGAAGACAGAGACAAAGAACGCCAUAAUGUCAGUGCUCAUUUCUUUAAUUAUGAUGUUGCUGAUAUUUUUCUAGCAAACCCCCAAAGAGGUAACUUUGGUGUUCCUUUGAACCAUUUAAAAUAAGCAUCCCUCUCCAAGAUGCUAUGAGAGUAUAAGACAUGAAAAUUAAUAUUCAUGCAUUAAGCUACCUACAACAUUCAUUUUUGUGAAAAUGAUAAAAUGAGAGCAAUGGAGAUCAUAUUAGAGUAUAAAGUUUUAGCCAUAUCACCAAUCCCUUAUGUAAUGCUUACGAUUUAAAUGACUCAAUUCUACACAUUUGAAUAAAAAGAAGCAGAAGACAUAUUUUCUCAGUUUCUGAAACCAAGGAAGUUCAUUGAGCAGGGCGAUGAAAUCUUUUAACCUUUUUUUUUUCUUUUUAUUAGCAUUAGGUUUUUUUAAACCAAAAAUAAAUAAGUAAAUAUGGCAUCCAAUGAAUGCGUUUUUGAAAAUUUUCCAAUAAUUUUAAGGUAAAUUUAAAAACAGCAAAUCUAGGAACUUAUAACUGAUACUUGGCCCCUUUUUGUUUUCUAUCUUUUGACACUUAAGUAGGUGAUUAAAGUGUAAAAAUGGAGGUGUGAAAAAAUGACCUAGAAAAGAUAGUGAUUACUUCUACUGCCAGAAGGACCUCCGGAAAUGGCAAGAAAGUUGACAUCUUCAAUUGCAUAUGUUUAUUUUUUAAUGGCUUGGAGUAAAUAGAGGGAAAAAUGUUAAAAAUGAUAAAUCUUGGUGGUAGAAAGAUGACAUUGCUUUAACUGAAAUGUUUUCUAAAUUGAAAUUUAAGUCUGAAAUAUUUUUAAAUUUAAAAUGAAAUGUUUUCUACUUUUUAAAAUUCUGGCUAAAAAAGACAUAUUUAUGUAUGACUCCUUUAGUGAAAAUUUAAAACUUUUGCUUUCCUUAUAAGUUAGAGAUUUGUUUCCUCGAAGUUCAAAAUUUAUAUUUAAAAAGAGUAAAUUUAUGUAAUUUAGAGAAUUGUCUGCUAAACACUCAACAGAAAGAUAAAAUAAAAUCCUAAAUCUCUGUAAUGUAUUCUGAUACCUGAGAGUUUUAUUUCUCCUCUGUUUAUGUGUGUGCAGCUAAUUUUGGGUCAUUUUAUAUGAUUUACACAAGUUAGCUAACAUUUCAGAGGCAUAAACAUAGCAAUUUUAUUCAAAAGAUCAAUUAAUGGAUAUGUAUAAAUUGUUUUUCUCUUAUAUUUAUCAAACCCUAUGUAAAUAUGGAAGUACGCUUUAUAGAACUGUUGGAGUGAAAAAGCUUUACUAUACUUCAGGAUAAAAUUCUGGGGAAUUUUGUGUUUUCCUGUCUUAUUCUGUUAAUGCCAUUUUUAAAAGUAAAAU
rnacentral:lncRNA from 1 species